rnacentral:rRNA from 1 species
UACGUAGGGACCAAGCGUUGUUCGGAUUUACUGGGCGUAAAGGGCGCGUAGGCGGUGCGGUAAGUCACCUGUGAAAUCUCCUGGCUCAACUGGGAGCUUGCAGGCGAAACUGCCGUGCUGGAGUGUGGGAGAGGUGCGUGGAAUUCCUGGUGUAGCGGUGAAAUGCGUAGAUAUCAGGAGGAACACCUGUGGCGAAAGCGGCGCACUGGACCACAACUGACGCUGAGGCGCGAAAGCUAGGGGAGCAAACAGG